rnacentral:rRNA from 1 species
GUGAUGCCCUUAGAUGUUCUGGGCUGCACGCGCGCUACAAUGAUGCGUUCAGUGAGUUCAUAUACUCAACCGAGAGGUUAGGUAGUCUCGUAAUACGCAUCGUGCUGGGGAUGGAUCAUUGCAAUUGUUGAUCCUGAACGAGGAAUGCCUAGUAAGCGCGAGUCAUCAGCUCGCGCUGAUUACGUCCCUGCCCUUUGUACACACCGCCCGUCGCUCCUGCCAAUGGGUGGGGUGGUAAGGGGAUGCGGUUGGCCGUGGAAGGGGGUCUCCAUGAGCCGUGCUAUUAUCUUCGAGCCGUCUUAUCUAGAGGAAGGAGAAGUCGUAACAAGGUUUCCGUAGG